AGGACCAUAUCAUGUUGAAACACUGGUUCUCAUAUGAUCACCGAAAUUAAGCAAUGUCAAGCCUGGUCAGUAUCUAGAUGUGUGACUGCUUCAGAUUACCAGGUGCUGUAAG
rnacentral:rRNA from 1 species